rnacentral:rRNA from 1 species
GAUGAACGCUGGCGGCGUGCUUAACACAUGCAAGUCGAACGAUGAAGCCCAGCCUGCUGGGCGGAUUAGUGGCGAACGGGUGAGUAACACGUGAGUAACCUGCCCUUGACUCUGGGAUAAGCCCGGGAAACUGGGUCUAAUACCGGAUAGGAGCGCCUGUCGCAUGACGGGUGCUGGAAAGAUUUUUCGGUCAUGGAUGGACUCGCGGCCUAUCAGCUUGUUGGUGAGGUAACGGCUCACCAAGGCGACGACGGGUAGCCGGCCUGAGAGGGUGACCGGCCACACUGGGACUGAGACACGGCCCAGACUCCUACGGGAGGCAGCAGUGGGGAAUAUUGCACAAUGGGCGGAAGCCUGAUGCAGCGACGCCGCGUGAGGGAUGACGGCCUUCGGGUUGUAAACCUCUUUCAGUAGGGAAGAAGCGAAAAGUGACGGUACCUGCAG